ACUAAACUAAAAAUCUCUUGUCUCUUUUUUUCCAUUUUCCUUCUUGCCAACUCUAUCCUGUCUCCAAGUGCAGACCGUUUUGUGGCGACUCGACGUAAGUUCACACAGGAAUGACAUUUUCAUGAAUAACGCAGGGUGCCUUUAUUCAAUACAUUAUGGACCCCUCAUCAUGUCCAAACUUAAGUUUUUUUCCCCUUUGAUAAUGUAAUAUUCACAGUUGGAAAUGAACAGGUUAAAUGUGAUAUGCAAUACACUUAUUUGCAUUUUAUUUCCAAUCAUUGGAAAGCAAUUUGUUACUAUUAAAUUGUGGAGUUGUAAUUUUUUAAUCAUGAAAAUCCAAAUAAUUACUAAUUGAAUGUGAUUACCUCUUUUUGUGCAGCUCUUAUAUUAGAAAAAAAAUCAAAUUUAAUGUUCCUUAAUAUGGAAUAGACAAUCAUUAUCUAUGCCGCCAUUGAUUUAUUUUAUUAUUCAUUUAAUCCUCAGUUUAGAAAUGUGUAUAUCCUUCUAAGGUACUUUGCAUGCUUCUGUUUACAGCUUAUGGAGCUGCUUGGCCUCAUUAUAACUUAUUACAUUGUAGGAAUACUUAAAACACGGUAAAGGAAAUUACAUUUUCCAAAACACAUCAUAUUUUAUCAGCAGAGUAAUCCAUUGUUAUUACUGCUUACCAGGACAUGGUUAUAAACAUUAUAGAGGGAACUUAAAAUAAAGAGUCUAAAAUGCGCAGGGAUAAUAGAACUUUUUGUAAAAUACUUUGAGGUCCUAAAUUUAAAAAGGUGGUUCUGUGGUUGGAUUCAAGUUGGACUCACUGGAGGAUGUGGUGGAGAGAUGUACUGUGAGGAAGGUGGAGGCUAUUCUAAAGAAUAUGGCUCACCCACUUCACAACACCUUGGUGGACCGAAAGGCCUAUGGUGGUGGACGGCUCCUCUCUCUGCUGCAGGACAGAAAGACUCAUAAGAUCUUUUGUACCCACAGCCAUCAGACUUUACAAUUUAAAUAGUAGAUGACUUUUUGAGACAUGACAAGUGAGACUACAGACAAUUGAAUUUCCCUUAGGGGAUAAAUAAAGUUCUUUGUAUCUUAAAUACAUUUUCAAUUAUCUCUUAUGAACACUCUGUAUUUUUAGUCAUUAAUUUGAUUGAAGGGUUAUCGAACAAGACAAUGGUCACUUCCAGCUUUUAACUCAACUUGACUUUUGAUAGAUGUAUAGUUGAGGACAGCCACUUGGUGGAUUGAGUAAAAGUACAUUAUAAUCUCACUAGCUUUGGGUGGAUGUUGGAUCAUUUAAUUUUGUCUUUAAUAAAAAAAGAUUAAUGUUUUUUUCCAUUGUGUCUUACAGGUAUCCUGUCCAGUCUCCCCACUCUCCCCUAUCAUUUUGGUCCCUCUGACUUUCCUGUCUCCUCUACCACUCUUUCUGAUUGAAAAGCCACUCUACAAUCCUUGAACAAUUCUUUGAUACCAUUGAAACAAAUCUUUGAUACCAUUGAAACAAAUCUUUGAGACCUAUUGAAACAAAUCUUUGAGACCCUUUGCAAUAAAUCUUUGAGACCUUUUGCAACAAAUCAUUUGAGACCCUUUUGCAACAAAUCAUUUGAGACCCCUUUGCAACAAAUCAUUUGAGACCCCUUUGCAACAAAUCAUUUGAGACACCUUUGCAAUAAAUCUUUUGAGACCCCUUUGCAAUAAAUCUUUUUGAGACCUAUUUUAACAAGCC